UUACACAUAGCACUUGCUUAGGACAUCAGAAGUUCCAAGUAUCCGACACCGGAAAGUCAACGCACUUUCCUCAAUCAAACCUUCAAACCCAAUCAUUCUUGGCACAACUUGCAAACCUAGUAUAUUCCCCCUGCAUUAGCUCGAACAUACAUCAGCAUUUUGCAUGCAUAACACAAUAUCAUAAGUAUCUUCUCACACUCUUUUGACUCAUAGAAAUUCGGAACUUCCCAACCAUUGUUAGAGUUUUCCCCUAGUAAAGUCAACAUAUUUC
rnacentral:lncRNA from 1 species